CCUACGGGUGGCAGCAGUAGGGAAUAUUGCUCAAUGGGGGAAACCCUGAAGCAGCAACGCCGCGUGGAGGAUGAAGGUUUUCGGAUUGUAAACUCCCUUUGUUAGAGAAGAUAAUGACGGUAUCUAACGAAUAAGCACCGGCUAACUCCGUGCCAGCAGCCGUGGUAAUACGGAGGGUGCAAGCGUUACUCGGAAUCACUGGGCGUAAAGGGCGCGUAGGCGGGAUAGCAAGUCAGAUGUUAAAUCCUAUGGCUUAACCAUAGAACUGCAUUUGAAACUGUUAUUCUAGAGUAUGGGAGAGGUAGGUGGAAUUCUUGGUGUAGGGGUAAAAUCCGUAGAGAUCAAGAGGAAUACUCAUUGCGAAGGCGACCUGCUAGAACAUAACUGACGCUGAUGCGCGAAAGCGUGGGGAGCAAACAGGAUUAGAUACCCUGGUAGUC
rnacentral:rRNA from 1 species